UCUACAAGUCCGACUCCAAGCAAUAUGUUGAGAAGAAAGCUCCAUUUGUGGUACAGAACGCGGUUUGUUCAGAGAAAGACUAUUAUAUUGUGAACGCGGUUUCUUCAAAAGUUGAAUGUCUGGUUGUGGUUGUUCUUGGCCUAGAUCUCGUUAAUGGUAUAUGCAGCGAUGAAUAGCUGCCAAAAUAUUUAGUUUUGCCCUUUUCAAGAAAAGGCUCUCACUGAGAAUUGGUUUCUCUGCUACAUUAACGGAUCUCACAUUUCAAGCGAUGAAUAGGUGCCAAAAUAUUUAGUUUUGCCCUCUUUCAAGAAAGGGCUCUCAAUGAGGAUUGGUCUCUCUCUAGAUUAACAGAUCUCACAUUUCAAGAUUAAAAAGGAAUGAUGACACCGAUGCAGGGGUUACCUUUAGUUUGUUUCAUUACCAUAAUAUGUAUCGCCUCGGCACGGGAUUCUUCCACUACCACAUAUUAUUAUUGUCAUGGGUCUUCUACGGUAGUUACAAUCAGUAAAACCAACAAUUCGGGAAACGCUACAAAUAGUGAGUGAUCAUGACUUAU